rnacentral:rRNA from 1 species
UACCAGCACCCCCGAGUGGUCGGGACGUUUUAUUGGGCCUAAAGCAUCCGUAGCCGGUUCUACAAGUCUUCCGUUAAAUCCACCUGCUUAACAGAUGGGCUGCGGAAGAUACUAUGGAGCUAGGAGGCGGGAGAGGCAAGCGGUACUCGAUGGGUAGGGGGUAAAAAUCCGUUGAUCCAUUGAAGACCACCAGUGGCGAAGGCGGCUUGCCAGAACGC